rnacentral:rRNA from 1 species
GACGAACGCUGGCGGCAGGCUUAACACAUGCAAGUCGAACGCUCGUAGCGAUACGAGAGUGGCAGACGGGUGAGUAACACGUGGGAACAUACCCUUUGGUUCGGAACAACGCGUGGAAACGCGCGCUAAUACCGGAUAAGCCUCUGGAGUGAGUCCGGGGGGAAAGAUUGAUUGCCGAAGGAUUGGCCCGCGUCCGAUUAGCUUGUUGGUGAGGUAACGGCUCACCAAGGCAUCGANCGGUAGCUGGUCUGAGAGGAUGGCCAGCCAC